UCGCAGGCCUCCUCGGGUUACCUUUGCCUAAAUCACCAUUUUCAUCAGAAACUUAAUUUGGAUCCAUCUCUUCUCUUCUCCCGUCGCCUCCGAACCCUAGCUAGCUACCUCGGUCCAGUCCGGCUGCGAGAGGCCACCGGCGGCAUGGCUGCGUGCGGCGGCGGAGCAUAGCACGCGAUGCGACCGCUCUAAUCGGAUCCAAUCGAAUCCCGCCGCACCGCCCGCCCCGCUCGCCGUGGCCGAUGACCGCGUCCCUCCCCAAACGGCGGCGAUGAUGGAGGGAGCCGCCGGCGCCGGCCGGGCUCCCGACCGGCCGACGCGCCGGGUCGCCGCUCCUCGGGCCCAGCCCCUCCCGCCGCGCCGUCACGCAUCGGCUCGGGGGCCCCCCUCGGGGAUGCCGCCUGUGCGGGAGGCGUCCGCAGCGGCGCGGGCUGGGGACCGGGCGGCGGGGCCCGUGGUGCGCUCCGGUCGAGGGCUUGGUCGGGCCUGGCGCGGGAUCUGAGCCGCCGUCGAUGGAUUUUUGGCCAGCUUGGCUGCAUCUUGCUUUCGAUUCGGCGAGCUCUCGUUGCCGGAUCGCUGACCCAUCGUCCCGGUGGCCGCUGCCUCAGUUCCACACCGCUACGGAGCCGCUAGCCACCGCCGUUCCAUUGCCUUGGAUUCGGUUGUGGCGUGGGCUGGAACCGUGCUCUGUUGUCUGAUGCGUCGUUCAAGCGGGAGGUUUGGUCGGCCGAGGCCAGGUAUGAGCAGCUCCUGAGCAGGAUGGAUGGAUGCAUUCAUGUGUCGUGAACUAAAACCACGACUCCUAUUUUGGAACGGAGGGAGUACAUUUUGGAACGGAGGGAGUAUGUAUGUAUGGAUAUCAUUGUCAUGUUGCUUGGUGUGGGGGUUGAACCUCCUUUUUUGGAAAAAAAAAGAGGAGCAAUGAUGAUGGUGAUGACGACGAUGGCUGAAAUAAUCAUGUCUUGAGCAAUCAAGACAGCCGUGGCGUGGUGGUACUAAACAGAGCUGAACAAAUCGGUGUCCGCGUUGGAGUUGGCCUUAGAGCCCACCCUUGCCUCUCUUGCAGCCUGUCCAAUUCAUUGCUGAUGUUGGUUGCUUUGUGCCUCGGAUGGUCAUUCUGUUGAGUGAUAACCAUGGCAGUUCUCUUACAUCGUGAUGGGUAGAUUAUGCAGCAAGAGAUGGUGAGGGUUUGGGCUUGAAGAUGGAAGACAAAACUGAGCCUCUUUUGCUAUGCUACAUAUACCCCCACCCCUCUACCUCUAACCCUAAGCCAAAUCAGUCGAGCUCUCAUUGCCAACUCGCUGUCCAAUCGUCUGGGUGGUGCCCUCUUCAGUUCACUGCUGCGGUGCUGCCAGCCUCUGCUGUUCCAUUGCCUUGGAUUUGGCUGUGGCGUGGGCUGGGAACCGUACGGUGUAAUCUGGGGCGUCAUCAGGUCUGGUUGGUCGGUCCAGGCCAGGCAUGAGUAGCUCCUGAGGCUGAUGGGGAUGGAUGGAUGGACAUGUGCAUGCAUGUAAAUUCACUCAUUUUGCUCCGUAUGUAGUCCAUAUUGGAAUCUCUAAAAGGA